CUCUGCCUUCGCUCGCGCCGCUCUCCUUCAGUCUCCCCAGGGCCUGUUUCAUGGAUAGGGUCCCCUUGCCCGCGUGAAAGUCUCAUUCCUCCUCAGCUCAGAAACACUCCAAGGUCUCGGCGCCCUAUACUGGCCUUCCCUCAUCCGAAUACCCCUCGUGCUCCUGAUGUACUUUUCCAUUCCCACUCCCUACUCUGGCAGUCUAGCUUCUAAGCUGAGGAGUUUGGCCUUCGCUCCAGGUGCGGGGACUCGUGGAAGGAUUUGAUUCGCGCUUGAGAAAGAUCGCUCCGCUCCUGUAAGGAAGAGAGCGUGUAGGGGCUGCAACCAGAGACACAGUCAGAAGCUCCGAGGCUACCGCGAUGGUCCAGGUGCCACAGGACACAGCCUAACAGAGGCCCAGGUUGGAGCCAUGGACCAUGGAGUCAUGAGAAUGGAAGGGAAGCUGACGCCAUGUGGGAUGGGGUAGAACUGUCCGCAAAUUCGUCCCGCCUCUGGAGUCUUCAGACCAGUCAAGGCCGAAAUUCAACCAAGCCUCUCCUCUCUCUAGCUGUUAUUUGUUUGCAGCACGCGGUCUGGUGGCACCCUGCAGGAUUUACCAGCUUUUUGCCAACAUUCUGGCCUAUGCAAUCAAUACGUCCCUUCAGCGUUGCACUUGGAUGGAUUGGACCUAUAGUUGUUAUAUAUGGAUAUUGUCUAAUUUAUUUAUUACAGUAUUAACUGACUCCUAUGUUCUGGCCUUCAGAAUUUCUCCUUUGGAUCAAUUACUAGCCUGUCUUACAUUUUCUGCUUCAUUCUUUUAAAAUGUUUAGAGAUGAUUUGCUAAGUUUUCUUCAUUGCUGUCAAUGAUGCAAUUUAAACUGUCAAAAAAAUUUUUUCUCAAGCAGGGUAGUAAUGGUGAACCAUUCCCUUGCUAUUCAGACAGCAUGGUUUAGAUGAGGCGCACCUAUCCCCAGCUUUAGGAAUGGAAACAGGACCCAAGUCUGGCUAAUCAGAGACUGGUUUAGGGUCGGCCCCAUGGUCUGAGCCAGACCAAUGAGAAUUGGUAGAGGGACUUCCUUUUGCAACUUCUAUUUUAGAAUCGGGGGUAUAUAUGCAGGCUUGUUACAGAGGUAUAUUGCAUGGUGCUGAGGUUUGGAGUAUGAACGAAUCCGUCCUUCAGGUAAUGAGCAUAGUACCCAAUAGGUAGUUUCAACCCUUGCCCCCUUCCUCCUUCCCCAGUCUUGUAUUCCCCAGUGUCUGUUGUUCCCAGACAUUGAUCUUUUUCCUCUAUGUUGCUAAGCUGGUAGAAAGGCUGGAGUUGCUGGCAACCAUCUUUGCAACCAUGCAGGGAGAACUACUUUGGAAAUGAAGCAAGAUAAAGAAGAAAACAGAUAAAAGGAGACAAAUGUUUGACUUUGUACAGCUGGAAACCAGCAAUGCUGGAAAUGAGCACUGAAGGCAGUUUAAUGGGUUUGUCACUUGUAACCAAGUGACCCAUGGCAAGCUCACAGAUUUGUAUUGGCAGAAUUCCUCCUUUUCUUUAUUUAAAAUGGUACUUUUGGCCAGGCAAGGUGGUUCACACCUGUAAUCCAAAGACUUUGGGAGGCCGAGGCGCACUGAUCACCCAAGGUCAGAAGUUCGAGAACAGCCUGGCCAACAUUGGCGAAACCCCAUCUCUACUAAAAAUACAAACCAUUAGCUGGCUGCGGUGGCCUUUCUACCAGCUUUUUGUCUCAAAAAAAAAAAAAAAAAAGGUACUUUUGCUUAUCUCUAACCUUCCUCUUCCCCAUAAUUUAACAGUUGCCCAUACUAUCUGUUACUCUGAGCUACUCUCUGCCCCAUUCUCCUCCUCUUAUCUUCAGUUCCUCCUAGGCUGUCAGAGCCAUCUGAAAUGAAAACAUUUAGGCCGGGCAUAGUGGUUCAUGCCUGUAAUCCCAGCACUUUGGGAGGCUGAGGCAGGCGGAUCAGCUGAGGUCAGGAGUUCAAGACCACCCUGGUCAACAUGGUGAAACCCCAUCUCUACUAAAAAUACAAAAAUUAUCCAGACAUGGUGGCACAUGCCUCUACUCCCAGCUACUUGGGAGGCUGAGGCAGGAGAAUCGCUUGAACCUAGGAGGCAGGGGUUGCAGUGAGCCGAGAUUGAGCCACUGCACUCUAGCCUGGGCGACAGAGUGAGACUUUGUCUAAAAAACAUAAAUAAAAUAAAAUGAAAUGAAAACAUUUGCUACUUGAAAUCCUUCAGAUUCCCCAUCGCCUACCUACAGGCAAAACUCUCAAGUUCUUUUGUAUGAUUUAACCACUAUCUACCUGUCCAACUGAAAUCUACCCUUCAGUAAUAUUAUACUUGCACCUCCCUUCAUAAGCUAUGCUACAAGUUUGGUUAUGCAGUUGCCCACCUUUUAAGGUUCAAGCCUUGUCUUCUCCAAAGAGCCACCUCUGACUGCCUCACAGUAAGCUUAGGGCCCGCAACUUACCUGUAACUUUUGUUGCACUUAUGGCCUUUUACAACUAUCAAUUUAUGUAUGUGUCUGUUCUCACUGGUUUAUAAGCUCCCUGAGGACAGAGCCUUGCUUGAGUCAUCUGUCAGCAGCCCAAUAUGGGACAAAAAGUGCAUGCAUUGUAAUUACUGAACAGAACUGAUAGAGGCUCAGCAAUUUGCGCUCCAUAGGUCUAAGUUUGAACUUUUCUAGAAAAGGAUUUGCAGGACGAUCUGACGAAUCUUGGGCUUCCAAAUUAGUUCCAACAGUUCUAGUAUUUUUUUUUUUUUUUGACAGAAGCAAAUAAGUAAGUUUUACUUUGUGAUUAAAACAAAAGUGAAAUGCAUUUAGUCCCAGGAAAUGUCAAUCCUUUCUGCAUCUUACUUUUUUUUGCUGUGACCUCGAGAUUCUCUUGUUCUCUUCAGUUGUAUUGGUCCAUGAUCACUCAUAGCUUUCAUACACAUAUAUACAUCUGAAACUCAGAAAAUUCAUUAGGUAGGAACUCUUUGGAUGCAUCUCCUUUUUUAACCUCAUUGGGAUGAUUUUUCGUUGCACCAUCAUUUUAUAGAGCUUCCUAGCACUGCUGAGCAUGCAGAAUUUUUGCAAAUGCAAUCCAGAGAAACAGACUUGCUAUAUACUAGCUAUUUGAACUUGUCUGAGCUUAUGUGGCAUGGUCUAAAGAAUACUGAAAUAUUUCUGGCAUACCUCUUAAUUGCAGUCACUUUCUCCAGGUUGCUUUAUGGAUUAAAUGAGAUAACCUACUAAAGGACUCCAGUAAAAAGCUAAAAAGGUAGCUAGCUUUUGAGGUGUUGUGGCAGACUGGCAUCUAGUGGCCAGCGAUAAAGGUGCAGACUAGUGUCCACACCUAAGUGGGGACAGUGCAGGCUGUAAUGUCCAUACCUAGUGGGGACAUCAAUGGGGUAUUUGUCAGAGAAGCUCCAUGGCAUAGUUUGGACAUUGUUUCUGGCUGUGCAGGUUCAAACCCAGAGUCUGGCUCUCCCAAAGAUUAUCUGAGUUAUUCUAUUAUUUUACAAAGUUUGAAAUAGCCAUUAGAUACCCUUACAAACUUAUCAUUUUUGUGAUUGAUUUUAAGUCUACUGAAAAUGUCAAAAGAAAUCCAAAACUGAUUGCUAGUAACUAGGCCAGGUGUGGUGGCUCACACCUGUAAUCCCAGCACUUUGGGGCCGGGGCAGGCAGAUUGCUUGAGCUCAGGAGUUCGAGACCAGCCUGGGCAACAUGGCAAAACUCCAUAUUUACAAAAAAUACAAAAAAUUAGCCGGACAUGAUGGUGUGUGCCUGUUGUCCCCGCUACUAGAAGGCUCAGAAAGAAGGAUCACUUGAGCCUGGGAGGCGGAGGUUGCAGUGAGCCAAGACUGUGCCACUGCACUCCAACCUGGGCAACAGAGACCCCAGCUCAAAAAAAUAAAAUUAGUGUUAACUUGUACUGUUUAGCCACAUUCAUUAAGUUUUUAAUUUUAACUCUACUAUCGCACAACCAGGAAUGUACAAGAGAUCUGGAGCCUGAUUUGCAUGGCAGGAAGGAGACCACGUAUUUUUGUUUGGGAUGGGUUUUAGCCACUAUCAGAGACAUAGUUUGUUUCUUAGGGGUUCGGUCCCAGUAGUAUGAUACUUAGUUCAUUUAGGAACUUCCUUUUUUAACGGCUAAGAAAACAUUUUAGCUACUAAAUGAUAUGCAAAGAUAACUUUCCAAAUUUAAGCUGUACUCAAAAAUCCACAGAAUCUGCAAAACUCUCAAGUUUCUAUAUUUAAAUAGAAAUGUGUGUUGAUAUACAUACUUUAAUCAGUCAUUUCUUGCUUUCAAUAUAUUUUAUUCUGACGAAGUUACAAAAGUAGAUACAAAAUACUUUUUUUAGAAGUACAGUUAACUGACUUAGAAAAAUAGAUAAAGCCCCUAAGGAUUUUAAAACACAACAUAAAUUUUUAUGUAAAGAACAUUUAAAAAUAUUUUAGAUGGUAACCAAAACUAACUUACACAAACUAUUUUUGAUGUAGAAUAGAAUGCUGUUCUAUAAUAAGAAGUCUGUAGCACACUGGUAAUCCAUUUGGAUCUACAGAAUACUUGUUUGGAACAGAAUCUGAUAAUGAGAGAAAACUCAAAUGAAUGUCAGUGCAGUUGCUUCAAAAAAAUUACUGCUACCACAUGUACUAUCAUCCCCCAAGGCCUUUUACAGUCUGAAAUAUCAAAAUUGAAAGCAAAAAUAGGAUGACCAAAGGACUACUAUUUUACCUCUUUUCAGAACUCUACAAUAGUAGAAACUAAAUUCCCUUAUGGAUCUCAGGGGGAAAUAAUGUGCCUGUUGAAGGGGCUCAGUGUUUGGUGUCCAGGCUGGCAUUUUUCAGGUGAGGGUUUCAUACUGACAGGAGGCAGGCUCCUAAAACAAGGCGGUAGCACCAGCACCAUGACUAGGGCUGCUUUAAAACAAAUUUCUAGGACUUACGCU
rnacentral:lncRNA from 1 species